rnacentral:tRNA from 1 species
UCCCUGGUGGCUCAGACGGUAAAGCAUCUGUCUACAAUGCAGGAGACCCAGGUUCGAUCCCUGGGUCGGGAA